CCUACGGGAGGCAGCAGUGAGGAAUAUUGGUCAAUGGUCGCAAGACUGAACCAGCCAUGCCGCGUGCAGGAAGACGGUCCUAUGGAUUGUAAACUGCUUUUAUACAGGAAGAAACCCUCCCACGUGUGGGAGCUUGACGGUACUGUAGGAAUAAGGAUCGGCUAACUCCGUGCCAGCAGCCGCGGUAAUACGGAGGAUCCAAGCGUUAUCCGGAAUCAUUGGGUUUAAAGGGUCCGUAGGCGGUCUUAUAAGUCAGUGGUGAAAGCCCAUCGCUCAACGAUGGAACUGCCAUUGAUACUGUAAGACUUGAAUGCUUAGGAAGUAACUAGAAUAUGUAGUGUAGCGGUGAAAUGCUUAGAUAUUACAUGGAAUACCAAUUGCGAAGGCAGGUUACUACUAAGUGAUUGACGCUGAUGGACGAAAGCGUGGGGAGCGAACAGGAUUAGAUACCCUGGUAGUCCACGCCGUAAACGAUGGAUACUAGCUGUUCGGCGCAAGUUGAGUGGCUAAGCGAAAGUGAUAAGUAUCCCACCUGGGGAGUACGCACGCAAGUGUGAAACUCAAAGGAAUUGACGG
rnacentral:rRNA from 1 species